rnacentral:rRNA from 1 species
AGUGAACGCUGGCGGCAGGCCUAACACAUGCAAGUCGAACGGCAGCACAGUAAGAGCUUGCUCUUACGGGUGGCGAGUGGCGGACGGGUGAGGAAUACAUCGGCUUCCACUUUUUCGUGGGGGAUUACGUAGGGAAACUUACGCUAAUACCGCAUACGACCUACGGGUGAAAGCAGGGGAUCUUCGGACCUUGCGCGAUUGAUUGAGCCGAUGUCGGAUUAGCUAGUUGGCGGGGUAAAGGCACACCAAGGCGACGAUCCGUAGCUGGUCUGAGAGGAUGAUCAGCCACACUGGAACUGAGACACGGUCCAGACUCCUACGGGAGGCAGCAGUGGGGAAUAUUGGACAAUGGGCGCAAGCCUGAUCCAGCCAUACCGCGUGAGUGAAGAAGGCCUUCGGGUUGUAAAGCCCUUUUGUUGGGAAAGAAAAGCAGCAUGUGAAUACCCCGCUGUUCUGACGGUACCCAAAGAAUAAGCACCGGCUAACUUCGUG